rnacentral:rRNA from 1 species
GACGAACGCUGGCGGCGUGCCUAAUACAUGCAAGUCGAACGCAGUUGCGAACGGGUGAGUAACGUGUAGGUAACUCCCUCAUAGCGGGGGAUAACUAUUGGAAACGAUAGCUAAUACCGCAUACUGUGCGAUGGACCUGCGUUGUAUUAGCGAGUUGGUGGGGUAAAGGCUCACCAAGGCGACGAUACAUAGCCGACCUGAGAGGGUGAUAGGCCACACGGGGACUGAGACACGGUCCAGAGGCCUACGGGAGGCAGCAGUGGGGAAUAGUGGACAAUGGGCGCAAGCCUGAUGCAGCCAUGCCGCGUGUAUGAAGAAGGCCUUGGGGUUGUAAAGUACUUUCAGCGGGGAGGCGUUACCCGCAGAAGAAGCACCGGCUAACUCCGUGCCAGCAGCCGCGGUAAUUC